rnacentral:miRNA from 1 species
UGGCACUCCAGAUGUUUGGACUACACCUCCCAUGAUGCUUUGCAUUAUGGGUGUAAAAGCAUUGUGGGGGAUGUAGUACACAACAUCUGGAGUGCCG